UCAGCAUAUUGGGCAUUAUAAUUACAGGUUGUUAGGUGCCUAACAUGAUAACAUCGAAAAAUGCAUUUCAAGGGAAUUGUUUCGUAGAAAGAAUCUUAAGUAUGUAUAUUAAGAAAAAGUAUAAGGCAUCUGAAGACAAGAGUCUCGGACCAGCAUAUGUAAUAUAGUUGUCUAUAAAAGUGGUUAAUCGUUUGCGUCUGUUUCUUGGAGUACUGUAAUCGCCCCUGAUUCUGCGCAUUUUUAACACGAUGUCACGAAACAUUGCAGUAAUCUCUAAAUUAUUUGUCAUAAGACGAGUUUGUACAAUCCCAUUGAAGUCGAGUCAAGUACGAGACACUGAAGACGGCCUUACUGUUGAGGUCGAAAUACGUAUCUGUCAAGAUACAAUUAAGUGGUGGAAUUCAAUGGGAUUGUACAAACUCGUCUUAUGACAAGUAAAGACAUUCCACUAAAAAGCUCAAAAUAAUUUUCUUAAUUUUUAAUUCACGCAUGGGCGGUCGUCGUAACUAACAUCAACGACGGACUUUCUAUCAGCUAUUAAAAGCGAGCAAGAUGGUCAUUCAAGCGAAAGAAGAUUUAUGGAUCGUCCGUAGCAUGCGUAAUUGGCGUCGUGCAGUAGUGGGCCGAGCGGAGUGAAGAGGACUUUAACGUACUGCACACAGACCACUUCGGUUAAAGUCUAAAGAACACAAUUGAUAUUAAAAUAACAAAUGUGAAUUAUAAUUCGUCCAAUUAUAUACCAAACCAUGCAUGAAUAUUCCAGGAAGAUAAAUUGGAUGUUUCAAGUUGAUAAGAAAACACAAUUAACAGGUUCAACAUUCGUGUGCUUUUGAACGACACUCUAACAUAUUGGUUUUACAAGUUGGAAUUAAAUACUAUUUAGUUUAAAAUGUA